CGCUCAUAGCAAUAUGGGAGCGGCGAACGGCGUAGUAAGACGUAGGAACGUACCCUCGGGACGGGGAUAGCUAUGGGAAACUGUAGGUAAUACCCGACAAUCUCUGCGGAGCAAAGGUGUGAUUCCGCCUGGGGAGCGGCUUACGCGAUAUUAGCUAGUUGGUAGGGUAAUGGCCUACCAAGGCGAUGAUGUCUAGGGGGUGUGAGAGCAUGGCCCCCACGACCGGAACUGAGAUACUGUCCGGACACCUACGGGUGGCUGCAGUCGAGAAUCUUCCGCAAUGGACGAAAGUCUGACGGAGCGACGCCGCGUGCGGGAUGAAGGCCCUUGGGUUGUAAACCGCUGUCAGAGGGGAUGAAAUCUUCGGAGGUACUCCUCCGAAGUUGACAGAGCCUCAAAGGAAGCACGGGCUAAGUACGUGCCAGCAGCCGCGGUAACACGUACUGUGCGAACGUUAUUCGGAAUCACUGGGCUUAAAGGGUGCGUAGGCGGCGAUUCAAGUCAGAUGUGAAAUGCCUGAGCUCAACUGAGGCAUUGCGUUUGAAACUGAACCGCUAGAGUAUUUCAGGGGUGUGCGGAACUGCCAGUGGAACGGUGAAAUGUGUUGAUAUUGGCAGGAACACCGGAGGCGAAAGCGGCACACUGGGGAAUAACUGACGCUGAGGCACGAAAGCCAAGGGAGCGAACGGGAUUAGAUACCCCGGUAGUCUUGGCCGUAAACGAUGAGUACUGGGCGGGAGAGGGUUUCCCUUUUCUGCCGUAGCGAAAGCGUUAAGUACUCCGCCUGGGGAGUAUGGUCGC
rnacentral:rRNA from 1 species